GCGAAGGAUAAAGAUGAAACUGAAGCGGAUUCUGAAGAGGAACAGCCUUCCCAUGAGGCUUCUGUGGGAUCAGAGACCAUGCCAGGCUCUGAGGAGGACCAUGAGGAGGACUCAAACACUAAGGAAGAAUUAAUUGAGCUAAAAGAGGAGGAAGAGAUCCCACACAGUGAACUGGAUCUGGAAACUGUACAGGCAGUGCAGUCUUUGACUCAAGAAGAAAGCAGUGAGCAUGAAGGAGCCUACCAGGACUGUGAGGAAACUCUGGCGGCUUGCCAGACUCUACAGAGUUACACCCACACUGACGAGGACCCUCAGAUGUCAAUGGUUGAAGACUGCCAUGCCUCAGAGCAUAAUAGCCCAAUAUCCUCCAUUCCGUCUCAUCCUAGCCAGUCAGUCCGCUCCGUCAGCAGCCCCAGCA
rnacentral:lncRNA from 1 species